ACCCUUAGAAGAAACCAACAAAAACUAAAAUACUACAAGAUAUAACCUUCAAAGUUAAAAGUUCUGGCGGUAGCUCGAUCAAACUAGAGGAACCUGCCCGUUAAAUGAUACUCCACGCAAUAUCUUACCUUUUUUCAAAGCCUGUAUACCGUCAUUGUAAAAUAAUCUUUCAAAAGGACAAUUGUUUAAAUAAAUCUACGUUUAAUAUAUUAGAUCAAGGUGCAGCCCAUAAAAAGGCCAGCGGUGGGUUACAAUAACUUAUAGUUAAUCACGAACUAUAAUCUGAACCGAUUUUAUAAAGGCGGAUUUAGUAGUAAUUUUUUUUUAAUACGAAAGAAUGAUAAAUGACCCGAGCUAAGUACAUAUCGCCCGUCGCUUUCACUUAGUGGAAUAAGUCGUAACAUAG
rnacentral:rRNA from 1 species